rnacentral:rRNA from 1 species
CAGUACCGUGAGGGAAAGGUGAAAAGCACCCCGGAAGGGGAGUGAAAUAGAACCUGAAACCGUGUGCUUACAAGUAGUCAGAGCCCGUUAAUGGGUGAUGGCGUGCCUUUUGUAGAAUGAACCGGCGAGUUACGAUUUGAUGCAAGGUUAAGCAGUAAAUGUGGAGCCGUAGCGAAAGCGAGUCUGAAUAGGGCGUUUAGUAUUUGGUCGUAGACCCGAAACCAGGUGAUCUACCCUUGGUCAGGUUGAAGUUCAGGUAACACUGAAUGGAGGACCGAACCGACUUACGUUGAAAAGUGAGCGGAUGAACUGAGGGUAGCGGAGAAAUUCCAAUCGAACCUGGAGAUAGCUGGUUCUCUCCGAAAUAGCUUUAGGGCUAGCCUCAAGUGAUGAUUAUUGGAGGUAGAGCACUGUUUGGACGAGGGGCCCCUCUCGGGUUACCGAAUUCAGACAAACUCCGAAUGCCAAUUAAUUUAACUUGGGAGUCAGAACAUGGGUGAUAAGGUCCGUGUUCGAAAGGGAAACAGCCCAGACCACCAGCUAAGGUCCCAAAAUAUAUGUUAAGUGGAAAAGGAUGUGGCGUUGCCCAGACAACUAGGAUGUUGGCUUAGAAGCAGCCAUCAUUUAAAGAGUGCGUAAUAGCUCACUAGUCGAGUGACACUGCGCCGAAAAUGUACCGGGGCUAAACAUAUUACCGAAGCUGUGGAUUGUCCUUUGGACAAUGGUAGGAGAGCGUUCUAAGGGCGUUGAAGCAUGAUCGUAAGGACAUGUGGAGCGCUUAGAAGUGAGAAUGCCGGUGUGAGUAGCGAAAGACGGGUGAGAAUCCCGUCCACCGAUUGACUAAGGUUUCCAGAGGAAGGCUCGUCCGCUCUGGGUUAGUCGGGUCCUAAGCUGAGGCCGACAGGCGUAGGCGAUGGAUAACAGGUUGAUAUUCCUGUACCACCUAUAAUCGUUUUAAUCGAUGGGGGGACGCAGUAGGAUAGGCGAAGCGUGCGAUUGGAUUGCACGUCUAAGCAGUAAGGCUGAGUAUUAGGCAAAUCCGGUACUCAUUAAGGCUGAGCUGUGAUGGGGAGAAGACAUUGUGUCUUCGAGUCGUUGAUUUCACACUGCCGAGAAAAGCCUCUAGAUAGAAAAUAGGUGCCCGUACCGCAAACCGACACAGGUAGUCAAGAUGAGAAUUCUAAGGUGAGCGAGCGAACUCUCGUUAAGGAACUCGGCAAAAUGACCCCGUAACUUCGGGAGAAGGGGUGCUCUUUAGGGUUAACGCCCAGAAGAGCCGCAGUGAAUAGGCCCAAGCGACUGUUUAUCAAAAACACAGGUCUCUGCUAAACCGUAAGGUGAUGUAUAGGGGCUGACGCCUGCCCGGUGCUGGAAGGUUAAGAGGAGUGGUUAGCUUCUGCGAAGCUACGAAUCGAAGCCCCAGUAAACGGCGGCCGUAACUAUAACGGUCCUAAGGUAGCGAAAUUCCUUGUCGGGUAAGUUCCGACCCGCACGAAAGGCGUAACGAUUUGGGCACUGUCUCAACGAGAGACUCGGUGAAAUCAUAGUACCUGUGAAGAUGCAGGUUACCCGCGACAGGACGGAAAGACCCCGUGGAGCUUUACUGUAGCCUGAUAUUGAAAUUCGGCACAGCUUGUACAGGAUAGGUAGGAGCCUUUGAAACGUGAGCGCUAGCUUACGUGGAGGCGCUGGUGGGAUACUACCCUAGCUGUGUUGGCUUUCUAACCCGCACCACUUAUCGUGGUGGGAGACAGUGUCAGGCGGGCAGUUUGACUGGGGCGGUCGCCUCCUAAAAGGUAACGGAGGCGCUCAAAGGUUCCCUCAGAAUGGUUGGAAAUCAUUCAUAGAGUGUAAAGGCAUAAGGGAGCUUGACUGCGAGACCUACAAGUCGAGCAGGGUCGAAAGACGGACUUAGUGAUCCGGUGGUUCCGCAUGGAAGGGCCAUCGCUCAACGGAUAAAAGCUACCCCGGGGAUAACAGGCUUAUCUCCCCCAAGAGUUCACAUCGACGGGGAGGUUUGGCACCUCGAUGUCGGCUCAUCGCAUCCUGGGGCUGUAGUCGGUCCCAAGGGUUGGGCUGUUCGCCCAUUAAAGCGGUACGCGAGCUGGGUUCAGAACGUCGUGAGACAGUUCGGUCCCUAUCCGUCGUGGGCGUAGGAAAUUUGAGAGGAGCUGUCCUUAGUACGAGAGGACCGGGAUGGACAUACCUCUGGUGUACCAGUUGUCGUGCCAACGGCAUAGCUGGGUAGCUAUGUGUGGACGGGAUAAGUGCUGAAAGCAUCUAAGCAUGAAGCCCCCCUCAAGAUGAGAUUUCCCAACUUCGGUUAUAAGAUCCCUCAAAGAUGAUGAGGUUAAUAGGUUCGAGGUGGAAGCAUGGUGACAUGUGGAGCUGACGAAUACUAA